GAGAUUUUUUCUAUCGAACUGCUAAAUCGUAAUGCCGAACCUAAGCCCUCGGAACUCUC
rnacentral:tRNA from 1 species